UGGGGGGACCAUCCUCCAAGGCUAAAUACUCGUAAUCGACCGAUAGCGAACUAGUACCGUGAGGGAAAGGCGAAAAGAACCCCUGUGAGGGGAGUGAAAUAGAACCUGAAACCGUAUACGUACAAGCAGUGGGAGCCCUUCGGGGUGACUGCGUACCUUUUGUAUAAUGGGUCAGCGACUUAUUUUCAGUGGCGAGCUUAACCGAAUAGGGGAGGCGUAGCGAAAGCGAGUCUUAAUAGGGCGCAUGAGUUCGUGGGAUCAGACCCGAAACCGAGUGAUCUAGGCAUGGCCAGGUUGAAGAUUAGGUAACACUAAUUGGAGGACCGAACCCACAUCUGUUGAAAAAGAUCGGGAUGAGCUGUGCCUAGGGGUGAAAGGCCAAUCAAACUCGGAGAUAGCUGG
rnacentral:rRNA from 1 species